UACGUAGGGGGCAAGCGUUGUCCGGAUUUAUUGGGCGUAAAGAGCGUGUAGGCGGCUGGGUAGGUCCGUUGUGAAAACUCGAGGCUCAACCUCGAGACGCCGAUGGAAACCCUCCAGCUAGAGUCCGGAAGAGGAGAGUGGAAUUCCUGGUGUAGCGGUGAAAUGCGUAGAUAUCAGGAAGAACACCCGUGGCUAAGGCGGCUCUCUAGUACGGUACUGACGCUGAGACGCGAAAGCGUGGGGAGCGAACAGG
rnacentral:rRNA from 1 species